AAUUAAUUAUUCAGGUCUUCUGCCUAUUUAUACAAAUUGGGUUUUGUGUGUGUCUCUUUUUUUUUUUUUCCCCUUUUGGUCAUUUUUAGGGCUGCACUUACAGCACUUGGAGGUUCCCAGUCUAGGGGUCAAAUUAGAGCUGUAGCCACCCAGCCUAUGCCACAGCCAAAGCAACUUCAGAUUCGAGCUGUGUCUGCAACCUACACCACCCCUCAUGGCAACGCCGGAUCCUUAACCCACUGAGCAAGGCCAGGGAUUGAACCUGCCCCCUCAUGGAUACUGGUUGGGUUCGUUAACCACUGAGCCACGAGAGGAAUUCCUGGGUUGAUUUUUUGAUGUUGAGUAUAUAAAUUCUUUAUGAAUUUUGGAUAUUAAUGCCUUAUUAUACAUAUCAUUUGUAAAUAUUUUCUCUUACUCAUUAAGCUGCCUUUUUAUUUUGUUGAUAGUCUCCUUUGCUAUAAAAAAGCUUUUUAUUUAUUCAUUUAUUUUUAGGGCCACACUCAUGGCAUAUGUAAGUUCCUAGGCUAGGGGUUUAAUUGGAGCUGUAGCCACUGGCUUACGCCACAGCAAUGCCAGAUCCAAGCCAUGGAUGUGACCUACGCCACAGCUCACUGUAACUCUGGAUCCUUAACCCAAUGAGUGAGGCCAGGGAUUGAACCUGCAUCCUCAUGGAUAUUAGGUUCAUCACCACUGAGCCACAAUGGGAACUCCCUGAAAAAACUUUUUAGUUUGAUGUAAUCUCACCUGUUUAUUUUUGCUUUUGCUGCCUUUGCUUUGGGUGUCAAGUCCUAAAAGUAAUUAAUUCUCAAGACCAAUGAUGAAGAACUUACCCCCCUUUGUUUUUUUUCCAGAGGUUUUUCAGUCUCAGGUCUUACACUUAAGCCUUUCAAUAAUUCUGAUUUUUUUUCAAUUUUAUUAAAGUAUAGUUGAUUUGCAAUUUUGUGAUAAUUUCUGCUGUAGAAUAAAGUGAUUUAGCUAUACAUAUAUACACAUACUUUUUUUUUUUCAGAUUUUUUUCCCAUAUAGAUCAUCACAGAAUAUUGGGUAGACUUCCCUCUUCUAUACAGCAGUUCCCUGUUAGGCAAUCACUCCAUAUACCACAGUGUGCAUAUGCCAAUCCCUAAUUCAUCUCUCCCCUCACCUACACCUUUGGUAACCAUAAAUUUCUUUCAGUCUGAGUCUGUUUCUAUUCUGCAAAUACAUCCACUUGUAUCCUUUUCUUAGAUUCCACUUAUAAGCGAUAUCAUGUGGUGUUUGUCUUCCUCUGACUUACUACACUUAGUGUGAUAAUGGUCCAUCUAUGUUGCUGAAACAGUGUUAUUUCAUUCUUUUUUUAAUGGCUGGUUAAUAUUCCAUUGUAUAUAAAUAUACACCACAUCUUCUUUAUCCUUUCCUCUGUGAAUGGACAUUUUGGUUGCUUCCACGACCUGGCUGUUGUAAAUAGUGCUGCAGUGAAUGUUGAGGGUGCAUGUAUCUUUUCAAAUUAUGGUUUUCUCUAGAUACAUGCCCAGGAGGAGGAUUGCUGGAUAAUAUGUUCUAUUUUUCGCUGAGGGACCUCCACAUUGUUUUCCACAGUGGUUACACCAAUUUACAUUCCCACCAACAGUGCAGGAGGGUUGCCUUUUCUCCACACCCUCUCUAGCAUUUAUUGUUUGUAGACGUUUGAUAAUGGCCACUCUGACUGGUGUAAGGUGAUACCUCAUUAAAGUUUUUAUUUGCACUUCUCUAAUAACCAGUGAUGCUAAGCAUCUUUUCAUGUGUUUUUUUUUUUUUUUUUUUUUUUUUUUUUUGGCCACCUUUAUGGCCUCUUUGGAGAAAUGUCUAUUUAGCUCUUCUGCCCAUUUUUUGAUUGAGUUUUUCUUUUUAAUAUAUGGAGCUGCAUCAGUUGUUCACAUAUUUUGGAGAUUAAUCCCUUGUCAGUUUCUCCAUUUGCAAGUAUUUUCUCCCAUUCUUUGGGUUGUCUUUUUGUCCUGUUUUUGGUUUCCUUUGCUGUGCAAAAACUUUUAAGUUUAUUGAGUUGACUUUUGUAUAUGUUGACUAUAUAUUUCUAAGUUUGUUUCUGCACUCUCUAUCCUGUUCCACUGAUCUAUUUUUAUACUAAUACCAUACCACUUUGAUGACUAUAGCUUUGUAAUGUAGUUUGAAAUGAGGAAACAUGAUGUUUCCAGCUUUGAUGCUCUUUCUCAAGAUUGUUUUGACUAUUCAGGGUCUUUUGUGAUUCCUUACAAACUUUAGGACUAUUCUAUUAAAAAUGGCAUUGGAGUUUUGAUAGGGAUAGCACUGAACUGUAGAUUGCUUUGGGCGGUAUGGACAUUUUAACAGUAUUAAUUCUUCAAAUGCAAGACUACAGAACAGCUUUCCAUUUUUGGGUCCUCUUCCAUUUUUUAUCAGUCUUACAACUUUCAGUAUAUACACCUUCAUCUCCUUGGUUAAAUGUAUUCCUAAGUACAGCUGACCCUUGGAGAGCAUUUAUAUGCAGAUUUUUUUCAAUUGAUACAUACUACAUGAUCCAGUUUAUUGGCUUGUGAAUUUUUUUCUUAUACUGACUUGUCUAGUUUUAGUAUCAAGAUAACGAUGACUUUGAAAAAUUAGUUUGGAAAUACACUCUUCUAUUUUGUGGAGGUUUGAGAAGGGUUGGUAUUAUUUAAAUGUUUGGAAGUCAUUGGUGAAGCCAUUUCAUACUGUACUUUUCCUUGUUGGGAGUUUUUUUGAUUACUGAUUCAAGGUCCUUGCUAUUUACUGGUUUGUUCAGAAUUUCUAUUUCUUCCUGAUUCGGUCUUGGUAGAGUGUAUGUUUCUAGGAAUGUAACCAUUUCCUUCCAGGU
rnacentral:lncRNA from 1 species